AGUGAACGCUGGCGGUAGGCCUAACGCAUGCAAGUCGAACGGCAGCACAGUAAGAGCUUGCUCUUACGGGUGGCGAGUGGCGGACGGGUGAGGAAUACAUCGGAAUCUACUUUUUCGUGGGGGAUAACGUAGGGAAACUUACGCUAAUACCGCAUACGACCUACGGGUGAAAGCAGGGGAUCUUCGGACCUUGCGCGAUUGAAUGAGCCGAUGUCGGAUUAGCUAGUUGGCGGGGUAAAGGCCCACCAAGGCGACGAUCCGUAGCUGGUCUGAGAGGAUGAUCAGCAACACUGGAACGGGGCCACGGCCCAGACCCCUAGGGGAGGCAGCAGUGGGGAAUUUUGGACAAGGGGCGGAAGCCUGACCCAGCCAUACCGCGGGGGUGAAGAAGGCCUUCGGGUUGUAAAGCCCUUUUGUUGGGAAAAAAAAGCAGCAGGUUAAAACCCCGCUGUUCUGACGGUACCAAAAGAAAAAGCACCGGCUAACUUCGG
rnacentral:rRNA from 1 species